AUAAACAUAUGUAAUGCAAUCACAAGUGAUGUAUCAAGUAUAAAAUCAGUGAAUAUGCAUACAUAUAUGAGGGUCAACACAAACAUGUUCUUUAAGAUAUCAUUCAUAAUAAAGAAUUGAAAUAUAACACAUAACAACAAUACACGUGUUAUUAAUAAUGUUUUGUCAUCAUAAAAAACCAGAACACUGCGAGAUUAAGGUUUAGCUAAACUAAGUGCUUCCCUUAUCAACAAUCUCAACAUUCACUAUGCAUCACCCCUGCAUCAUCAUCCUGACUUGAACUAAAUUCUUCAAUGACUACUUCUUCCUCCCCCUUGUUCAAUAACAACUUCCUCCUCUUACACCCCAACGUUUUGUUCAACCAUAUCCACCCCUGUACGUUCACUUCAUCCUCCCCUUGCAUGUUCACUUCAUCAUCCAUCCCCUGCAUAGCCACUUCAUCAUCCACCCCCUGUACAACCACUUCAUCAUCCUCCACCUGCACAACCACUUCAUCAUCCUCCCCCUGCACCUCCACUUGAUCAUCCUUAUUCCCACCUACAUGUCUACCUUCACUCUCUAUACUUGAAGACAGAGCAAACAAAGUUCUUCAUUUAAUUCACUUUGAACAAUAAUCUCUGGCUCGUCAUCCACAUCGUGGACCACAAACAAGUGAACUUCCCCAAAAUACUUGGCAACGUUUACCAUGUUCAUUGCAUCUCUAUCAUCAUACAACUUAUGCAGAAUAUUUUGAAUGCAAUAAAAUAACUCAAACACUUUA
rnacentral:lncRNA from 1 species